rnacentral:rRNA from 1 species
GAACGAACGCUGGCGGCAUGCCUAACACAUGCAAGUCGAACGAGACCUUCGGGUCUAGUGGCGCACGGGUGCGUAACGCGUGGGAACCUGCCCUUAGGUUCGGAAUAACUCCCCGAAAGGGGUGCUAAUACCGGAUAAUGACUUCGGACCAAAGAUUUAUCGCCUUUGGAUGGGCCCGCGUUGGAUUAGCUAGUUGGUAGGGUAAAAGCCUACCAAGGCGACGAUCCAUAGCUGGUCUGAGAGGAUGAUCAGCCACACUGGGACUGAGACACGGCCCAGACUCCUACGGGAGGCAGCAGUGGGGAAUAUUGGACAAUGGGCGAAAGCCUGAUCCAGCAAUGCCGCGUGAGUGAUGAAGGCCUUAGGGUUGUAAAGCUCUUUUAUCCGGGAUGAUAAUGACAGUACCGGGAGAAUAAGCUCCGGCUAACUCCGU